GUUGGCUAUAACUCACAGAAGGUGGGGCUCAGGCAGCUAUAAAGCCUGCUAUAUGGCAGAGGGAGCUUCUUCUGCAGGCUGGUAGAGAUGGGUGUUGGUUCUUCUCAACAGGAACAUAUUUUCCUGGGGUUCCUGCUGUGCUCCUGAUGCCCACAUUACCUGGGUGGUGAACAUACCAGAGGAAAAGGCACUGCAGAUGCUCUCAGGAAACAGAGUAAUCCAAAGCAGCAAUGAUUCCAGCUGAGGCACCCCUCGUAGCCGUCAGCCAGGAACAGAAGCCGUCAUCUCUUCCCAGAGUACCUGGGGUAUCAAAGCUGUGCCACUCCGGGUGCGUGCUCCUUGCUGAAGGACCUGUGAAACUGUGCUCAAGGAGGAGCUGGGCUGGUGGUGAGUGGGUUGAGAGGAAGAUCAGGCUGACUGUCUACCAAGCUUUCAAGCCAAGAAAUCACUGUCAUCUGAUGCCCGUAAAUACCAGAUUUCUGGACACGCUUAGUCUCCAAGUAAUAACCUGAAUUAAGUUCAAAACUUCCUUGGAAAUCCAAUUCAGGCAAUUUUUACUCAGAGCAACAUUGCAAAGGCUACGUCAGCUGACCUGAAAAAUCUCUCUUCCACAAUGAUUAAACGCAUCCCAGAUUGCAUAUAUUUAGCUUUUGCUGCAAGAGACAAAGCUUCUUGUUCAGAACAAGUGCAAAUC